ACGACGAACACCGCCGGAACAACGACCCCAUCGAUCACGGCGAGGACGAUCGGUCCGCCGCUCAAGAUCUUCGUCGUGUUCUACUCGAUGUACGGACACGUGGAGAGCCUGGCGAGGAGGAUGAAGAAGGGAGCGGACGGCGUGGAGGGAGUGGAGGCGAGGCUGUACAGAGUACCGGAGACGCUUUCCGCGGAGGUCGUCGAGCAGAUGAAGGCGCCGUCGAAGGAUACGGAGAUCCCGGAGAUCACGGCGGCGGAGUUGGCGGAGGCUGAUGGGUUUCUGUUCGGGUUUCCGACGAGGUACGGGUGUAUGGCGGCGCAGAUGAAGGCGUUCUUUGACUCGACGGGGCAGCUGUGGAAGGAGCAGACGCUCGCCGGGAAGCCGGCUGGGUUCUUCGUGAGUACGGGGACUCAGGGAGGUGGACAAGAGACUACUGCGUAAGCAAAGCUAACUCUGUUGUUUCCUUUUAUGUCUGAAAGUAAAGUAGUUGACUUUGGAGUACAAGUGUUUAGUUCUUGUCAUCAAAGUUUUGUCUUUUGAUUGAGGCAUUGUCUGAAAUAAAUGAGUUAAGUACUUAAAGACAUGAACUUUAUGUUUUACCUGAAAAGUUUGUUGUGUUCAGGACAAUUGAAUUUAUAUAUAGUCUAUGUUGGUAGGAUAGGACUGUAAAAAUGAAAACUUUUAUUAGAUUUGAUUCUGUAAAAUAAACUUUAUAAGAAUUGAUCCAAAUUUGUCAGCACCAUAGUUGCUAAAUUUCUAGGCAUUUGCCUCCUGUAAAUUGCAUAUCUUGCAAUAGAUUCUUCAAUGUUUUUUUUCAUUAUUUUUACUCAUAGUGUGGAAUCUCUUCUCUUCAUCUGAUUUAGUUUCAGAUUCUAUGGAAUCUAUUCCCUUCUUCUUCUUCUUUUUGUAACUAGGCUUCUGUGAUAGUUUGGUUCCUUUACACAAAAUAUCUUUGCAAUUUCGUCUUGUACUGAUAAGCUAACAAGGUAAUAUAGAGAAGCAUAACAAUGUGGGAUCUUAAGAGCUAAAGAAAAACAAUGUGAGGUCUUAACAUCACAUGGCUUUUGUCAGAUCUUAACAAGUGUACAAUUAGAUGGUCCUUUAUUCUGCUAUUUUUAGUGUCAAUCUCUGAAACAUAUGAUGUGUUUGUUUUGCAGAUGGACAGCAAUAACACAGCUGGUGCAUCACGGGAUGCUAUUCGUCCCCAUAGGCUACACUUUUGGAGCAGGAAUUUUCAAGAUGGACUCCAUCCGUGGAGGGUCACCUUAUGGAGCUGGUGUGUUCGCUGGUGAUGGCUCAAGAGAAGCUACGGAGACAGAGUUGGCUCUUGCUGAACAUCAAGGAAACUACAUGGCUGCAAUUGUCAAGAGACUUGCACAACCUUGAGAAGAAAUACAAAAAACAACUUUGGUGGCUUCUUUAUUUUCUUGUUUUAUUUAAUUCUAUCCAUUUUUUUCUGAGUGUUUUUGAGUUUUGCCAUUCUCGGAAGAACAUUGAACCUAUCAUAAGGUUCUUACGUCAAUGGCCGUGUGUACAUGCUUCUUAUUUUUAUUACAAUUCUCUCUUUGAUUGUUCUCCUCCACAAAUGUGAAUUCCUGUCAAAAAUAAAAAAAGGUUUAUUGUGUGUUCUUUUAUUUGAGCUUAAUCAGUCCCAGCAUUAGUUUCUUCACUUCUCUAACUGUUAAACGAAAAAAUAUUGCAAGACAUUACACAGAUUAGUUUCCUUAAUUAGUUUCCAAUAAGAAAUCCACAAAAUAAAAGGCUCAUGUUUCUGAUUAUCAGUUCUUGAACCUUGUCUAUAUCUUCCUGACCACCAAAAUUGCUUUAAAUAAAAAUGACUGGUCAUUAACGUGUCACAUGACUAUGAACAAUGUUUCGAUCGUAACUCACCACCAAAGCAACAAGAAAAAAAAAGCACACCAUAUGUUCGGAUAAAUCUCGUUCUCGUGUGAAAAAAUGUUAGAAAAAUAAUUGCUUUAAGUAUUCAAUAAGAUAGUAAUUGCAUGGUGACAUUACAAAUUUACAAUUAUAGCUGACGUCCCACAUAAUCGCCACAAAUCAAAACUGACACAACAAAUGAAAACCUCUAAACUUGAGUCAAAACCAUAUUGACUUUUUUUUUAACUUGUUUAAAACGUACGAUUAUCCCAAGGGUCUUAACUUCUCUGCUGAAGCUCUUGUUAGACAUGAGAUCAUCUUUCCAAAGAAUCUUCUUCGCAGCAACGGUCUCACCGUUCUCAAGCUCAGCCUUGUAAAUCUUCCCAGAGCCUCCUGAACCAAUCAUGAACUCCUCGCUCAAGUUAUUUGUGGCGUCCAUGAUGUCAUCCCACUUAAUAUCUGACUUUGAAGAAGCUCAUGUUCUAAACAGAGGCUUGUGCGUAGCUUGUGAAGAUGAGCUUGAGGACGAGUAAGCAGUGCUUCCAUUCCUCACUUUCUUGAAGAAAUCAUGCCUUUGUUUGAAGAAGAUAGCGAUCACAAGUAUCAUCAAAGCAAUGGCUGCUAAUGCUGAGAUUGCUGAUAUUGUAACAACUGAUCUUGGACUAAGACCUUGCUGCUUGUUGUCUCUUCCAGAUCUAUUACAACGACUAAGAGGGCUUCCACAGAGACCUGUGUUGCCUAUAAAGGAAUCAGCUGGCCAUCUUGAGAACUGUUUCUUGAGUUUGCCUUUGAAGUUAUUGAAAGAGAGGUUGAGGUACCCCAAACUCUUCAUAUCCCCAACAGCUCCAGGAACUUCACCGGUGAGCUGAUUGUGAGACAGAUCAAGAGUCUCUAGCUUUGUCAACGUCCCAAUAGUAGAAGGAACAUCUCCAGUAAAGUUAUUGUAGCUGAGGUCUAAAGCACUUUGAAGAUCUUGAAGCUGCCCAAUCUCUAAAGGUAUCUCUCCUACUAAGCUGUUUCUUGACACCCGAAGCUCAUAUAGCUUACUAAGCUUGCCAAUACCUUGAGGAAGCGAACCUGAGAACUGGUUCUUGUCAAGGUUAAGUACAUUGAGAGCUCCCAAGUUACCAAUCUCCUGAGGGAUCGUUCCAUUGAGAAAGUUUCCAUCAAGAGACAACACAAGCAGCUUUGUACAGUUGAAUAGCUCAGCAGGUAAAGAUCCAUCAAACUGAUUAGAAGAAAGCUUCAGCUCUCCUAACUGAGAAAGCUUUCCAAGCCAUGGAGGUAUAGGCCCUGAGAGAAAGUUGUUGUUGAGAUCAAUGUGUGUCAGCUUCUUGCACAAGACUAGCUGUAAAGGAAUGGUUCCUGUAAGAGAAUUGCUUGAGAUAUCCAACAGAGAAAGCUCACGGAUCUUCCCAAACGUCCAAGGGAUUCUUCCUGUGAACUGAUUCUUGCCUAGCCUGAGACGCUCGAGAUUCGGAGAGUUCCCUAGCUGGAGAGGGAUCUCAUCUUCAAACUCAUUGUUGGUUACAUCGAACGAGAGGAACGAGGUGGAGCCACACAGUGGAAGGAUCGUACCGUUGAGGUGGUUGUGAGAGAGGUUGAUUCUCGUGAUGUUCUUGAGAUUGCUUAGUGAAUCAGGAAGGCUUCCUUGGAGAGAGUUGUUGUAAAGCAUGAACUGUUCUAAUCCUUUUAAGGAUCCGUAGGACGAAGGAAUCGAACCCGAGAGCUGGUUGUCUGCUAAGUCCAAGAUUUUGAGCUGGUGGCAGUUACCUAAAGUGGCGGGAAGUCCACCAACGAACUCGUUCUGUCUCAAGUGAAGCAAGUUAAGCUCCUUUAGGGCUCCUAUCGAAGGAGGGAUCUCUCCUUCGAAAUGAUUCCCGAAUAGAUCAAUCAUCUUCAAGCUUGUGCAGUUUCCGAUCUCUUUAGGGAUCUCACCCGAGAAACGAUUCUCGUAUAGAAACAGAACUUCUAGCUUCUUCAGCGCGGCGAUUUCGUUAGGUAACUUGCCUUCCAAGUUAUUGUGAUAUAAGACAAGCCACUGUAGGUUGGUGAGGUUUGAUAUAGAAGGAGAUAACUUGCCCUCCAAAGUAUUGUUGUGGAGAUAAAGAUCCGUUAGUUCGGUUAGCUGAAACAGUGAUUCAGGUAUGGAGCCGGUAAGAGAAUUGUUCGACAAGUCAAGCUGUUUAAGCGAUUGACAUCUGCUGAUCUCCGCGGGAACUUCACCUGAAAGCUGAGUUCCAGACAGAACCAACUGUUCCAAGUUAGUAUUGUUCGAACACAUACUCUUCGGUAAAGAACCAGAGAAACCGUUGUUUGCUAAAGCCAAAUCAAGAAGCUGACUCAUGUUCCAGAUCUCUUCAGGUAUCUCUCCGGUGAGAUUAUUCGCCGAUAAAUCGAGUGUCUGAAGAUUCUUCAGAUUAGUUAAACUCUUGGGGACAAGACCUUGAAGCUUGUUUUCCAUCAAGUUAAGGUACUCGAGUUGACUCAUCUCCCCGAGUUGACUCGGUAUCUCUCCGUCUUGAGAUGAAGAAGCCGUCCUCUCUCGCCGCCACCACCACCACCGGCGAUGGAAUCGACGACGACGGCGCCGCCAAUGCUCCGAUCCCAAUCGAGGACGAUCAGACGACGAACACCGCCGGAACAACGACCCCAUCGAUCACGGCGAGGACGAUCGCUCCGCCGCUCAAGAUCUUCGUCGUGUUCUACUCGAUGUACGGACACGUGGAGAGCUUAGCUAAGAGGAUGAAGAAGGGAGCGGACGGCGUGGAAGGAGUGGAGGCGAGGCUGUACAGAGUGCCGGAGACGCUUUCCGAGGAGGUCGUCGAGCAGAUGAAGGCGCCGGGGAGGGAUACGGGUGUUCCGG
rnacentral:lncRNA from 1 species